rnacentral:lncRNA from 1 species
AGAAUGGGCAGUCUGGAAUGCAUGAAGUUGAGGGACCUAGAGUACUGAGGAAAUGGCCAAAUCGAUAGCCCUAGAAUAUGUGGUAUUGCUAAUCCACAGAAAAUAAGCACUGUUCUGUGCAAGGAUGACCAGGUUGGCAAUGGAAGUAUUGAAAUGCAGCAGCUUGUUUGUGGAAUGACUGGAGGAGAUGGAGGAGCCUGGACAUGGUGGCCGUACUUGCCAAUCAAUACCUACAAGAUUUUUGCAAACAAGAUAUAAAACAAAGUUAAUGUUUCAUGAAAUAUGGAUUCAGAUUAACUCUGUGCCCCAAGCUGAGAUCAUACUAGGGUUUGUAGUUUCUGCAUGUCGGCUAAGCAGCAAUUACACAAUUCUCAGAGGAAAACCGAGCUUGGCCAGCAGCGUUUUCCUGGUAGUCGCUAAUCUUACCAGAGAAAUGGAUACUUUUUUCUAUAGUUAGCAAUCUGCCAGCCCAUUCUUUGCAUAAGUGGAAGCUGUGCUGAAUUCUCAAUGUAAAUGACACGGGAAAGCUAAGCAUAUGAAAAAGCAUAGCAAAACAAAUGAUUCAAAGAAUGUUCCAAAUGAAUCAUGUAAAUUAAGUGCAUGGCCAAAAACUGUUGUUUUGCAUAUUUUCAAUAGUUAUAAUUAACUGAGAUGUCUGGGAGCAAAAACAUGAGCAAGCCAGGAGUGGCAGCUGAGUGAAUAGUGCAGAAGCAGCUGGCUAUGUGGAGGCAAAUUCCUGCUGUCUGAGGGCAGCAGCUUGCUUCUGAACAGAGUGACUAAAAUCAGUGAGUGCCACAAAACAGUAAACUUUAUUUCAACUGUAAAGAUGUAUGCUUAAAGAGCGAUGGAUGAGUGAGUGCUUCUUACCUUCCUCCAUUUUAGCAUUAGCAAUGAGCAUUUGCCUCAGAUGUUUGAGGAGUCCAGGCCAACUGAACGUGCUAUAUGCGAGGGAGUUUUCAGGCAUCUGAGGUAUGUUACGGAGACCCAACAUCUUGAAUUCAGGAUGUGGAACUAACGUCUCCAUUAAGUCUCCUGAAAAAAAAAAAGAAAUGACAGCUGCUCAUGUUUGACAAAAAUAUCCCAUAGGCUAUUUAAAAAAGGAGAAGAGCACGAGGAAUUUUAUAAAGAUCUAGUAACUGAAGGUAAGAAAGCAGAAUAUGUAAAGUUUAAAUUUAACAAAUACACAGAUGCAUCUGACAAAAUGCAAAGAUUUACAACCUGCCACUGAGUUUUAUACAGGCAAGUUAACAGCUCUUAUUUCACAAUUUAGACUUGUCCUCCUUUUAGUCUGGCUCAGAAUCUUAAAGACCUUCUAUGCUUCUGAAGAGAUGGAAAGGAAAAUUAGAGCUUAAUUUUACAGGCAGAUUCUUGGCAAGCCAGUUGCAUGUUGCUACCAAGUUGCAUCCUAGUGUGUCU